rnacentral:rRNA from 1 species
CCAAUAGCGUAUAUUAAAGUUGUUGCAGUUAAAAAGCUCGUAGUUGAAUUUCGGGAUCAAUUAAUUGGUCGUGCCUCUGGUACGUACUGAUUUUAUUGGUUUCUCCCUUCUGACGAACCAUGAUGUCAUUAAUUUGAUGUCGUGGAGAAUCAGGACUGUUACUUUGAAAAAAUUAGAGUGUUUAAAGCAAGCUAACGCUUGGAUACAUUAGCAUGGAAUAAUGAAAUAGGACGUUUGAUCCUAUUUUGUUGGUUUCUAGGAUCGACGUAAUGAUUAAUAGGGAUAGUUGGGGGCAUUAGUAUUCAAUUGUCAGAGGUGAAAUUCUUGGAUUUAUUGAAGACUAACUACUGCGAAAGCAUUUGCCAAGGAUGUUUUCAUUAAUCAAGAACGAAAGUUAGGGGAUCGAAGACGAUCAGAUACCGUCGUAGUCUUAACCAUAAACUAUGCCGACUAGGGAUCGGAUGAUGUUAAUUUUUUAAUGACUCAUUCGGCGCCUUACG